rnacentral:rRNA from 1 species
AGACCCGAAACCCGGUGAUCUAGCCAUGGGCAGGUUGAAGGUUGGGUAACACUAACUGGAGGACCGAACCGACUAAUGUUGAAAAAUUAGCGGAUGACCUGUGGCUGGGGGUGAAAGGCCAAUCAAACCGGGAGAUAGCUGGUUCUCCCCGAAAGCUAUUUAGGUAGCGCCUCGUGAAUUCAUCUCCGGGGGUAGAGCACUGUUUCGGCUAGGGGGCCAUCCCGGCUUACCAACCCGAUGCAAACUGCGAAUACCGGAGAAUGUUAUCACGGGAGACACACGGCGGGUGCUAACGUCCGUCGUGAAGAGGGAAACAACCCAGACCGCCAGCUAAGGUCCCAAAGUCAUAGUUAAGUGGGAAACGAUGUGGGAAGGCCCAGACAGCCAGGAUGUUGGCUUAGAAGCAGCCAUCAUUUAAAGAAAGCGUAAUAGCUCACUGGUCGAGUCGGCCUGCGCGGAAGAUGUAACGGGGCUAAACUAUGCACCGAAGCUGCGGCAGCGACACUAUGUGUUGUUGGGUAGGGGAGCGUUCUGUAAGCCUGUGAAGGUGUGUCGUGAGGCAUGCUGGAGGUAUCAGAAGUGCGAAUGCUGACAUAAGUAACGAUAAAGCGGGUGAAAAGCCCGCUCGCCGGAAGACCAAGGGUUCCUGUCCAACGUUAAUCGGGGCAGGGUGAGUCGACCCCUAAGGCGAGGCCGAAAGGCGUAGUCGAUGGGAAACGGGUUAAUAUUCCCGUACUUGGUGUUACUGCGAAGGGGGGACGGAGAAGGCUAUGUUGGCCGGGCGACGGUUGUCCCGGUU